rnacentral:tRNA from 1 species
GCCUGGCUGGCUCAGUAGGUAGAGCAUGCAACUCUUGAUCUUGGGAUUGUAGGUUCCAGCCCCACGUCAGGUG